AUUUGGAACAAGAAAGAGAUUAUCCUUAAAGC
rnacentral:piRNA from 1 species